rnacentral:sRNA from 1 species
UGUUAAAUCAUUGAAUUAGAAAGCUUUGUCUCAAGUUUAAUAAUUUGCCUGAGGUCACACAGCUGGUUAAUGGUUAACAUACUUCUCUGAUAAAGGUCACUAGAGGUUCUUAUGAAGAUACUUUUAGGUGGCAUAACAAAUGUGUUUAUGCAUAUUCAAGACACUCUUGUAUCCACAGGUUGCACUGCUGUGAUCCGUCAUCAUCUCCUAAAGAUGCAUCCUGACUUAUCUCCACACUUGCACACUGAAGAAUGCAACGUCUUGAUUAACUUGCUUAAGGAAUGUCACAAAAAUCACAACAUUCUGAAAUUUUUUGGUUAUUGUAAUGAUUUCGAUCGGGAGUUGAGAAAAUGCCUGAAGAAUGAGGGUCUCGCUCUGUCACCUAAGCUGGAGUGCAGUAGGGUGAUCGUAACUCACGGAAGCCUCAAACUCAAGUGAUCCUCCCACCUCAGCCUCCUGAGUAGCUAGGACUACAGUACGUAGAAAACAGGACCAAGAGCAGGGAGCAUGGCAUUGCAAUGCGAAAGAAACUUUUUAAUCCUCCA